rnacentral:lncRNA from 1 species
GUGCGCGGUGCGAGUCGGCGGUGCCACUUUUGUAGUUGGCAGGCGUUGCGUUGCGUCGCUGUAGCUGUGUUCCGUAGGGAGGAGUUGAUAUGUCUGCAAAGAAUUCAAGAAUCAGAAAGAUUCAUAGAUUGGGAGUAUUUGAAUACAUUUGCUCAUGGAGGCAAAGCCUGCUUUCUCACUGUCUGGGGAAUGGCAGUUACCCUCAGUUCCUCAUGUUGUGGUGACCGCCAACCAUAAAAUUAUUUUGUUGCAAGGCUGGAGAGAUGGCUCGGCAGUUAAGAGCACUGACUGUUCUUCCAGAGGUCCGGAGUUCAAUUCCCAGCAACCACAUGGUGGCUAACAACCACCUUGAAUGAGAUUUGGUGCCUUCUGCUGGCAUGCAGGCAGCAGAAGACUGUAUACAUAAUAAAUAAAAUCUUUUUUAAAAAACUAUUUUGCGGCUACUUCAUAGCUGUAAUUGUUUUUGUUUGUUUUUCGAGACAGGGUUUCUCUAUGUAGCUUUGGAGGCUGUCCUGGAACUCACUCUGGAGACCAGGCUGGCCUCGAACUCCCAGAGAUCCGCCUGCCUCUACCUCCCGAGUUCUGGAA